CUAGUCACAUCCUUCCCUCGAU
rnacentral:miRNA from 1 species